rnacentral:rRNA from 1 species
CCUACGGGUGGCAGCAGUGAGGAAUAUUGGUCAAUGGACGAGAGUCUGAACCAGCCAAGUAGCGUGAAGGAUGACUGCCCUAUGGGUUGUAAACUUCUUUUAUAUGGGAAUAAAAUGUUCCACGUGUGGGAUUUUGUAUGUACCAUAUGAAUAAGGAUCGGCUAACUCCGUGCCAGCAGCCGCGGUAAUACGGAGGAUCCGAGCGUUAUCCGGAUUUAUUGGGUUUAACAGGAGCGUAGGUGGAUUUUUAAGUCAGUUGUGAAAGUUUGCGGCUCAACCGUAAAAUUGCAGUUGAAACUGGCAGUCUUGAGUACAGUAGAGGUGGGCGGAAUUCGUGGUGUAGCGGUGAAAUGCUUAGAUAUCACGAAGAACUCCGAUUGCGAAGGCAGUUCACUGGACUGCAACUGACACUGAGGCUCGAAAGUGUGGGUAUCAAACAGGAUUAGAUACCCGAGUAGUC